AAGACCAAGCCUCACACUACAGCUGGUGUGAAUGGGGCGGCAGAGGAGGUGGGCAGAGGGAAGAGAGGGGUCUCAGAGGGGUCACUGAGUCACUAAGCACGAGGAGGUGGGUGGAACAGCAGGGCUGUUCUGUCCCCUCUCUGUGCAUGUGGCUACUCAGUCCCCUCAGGGGGCUGGGAUGUAGGUCUCCCUGGGCCCUUGUUUUAUAAAUGAGGGCUAGAAGAACCAUGAACACACCCAGGAUUUGAACAGGCACCCAAAGCCUGCCAGCAGGAGCUCCUCACCUCAGGCCCGCCCUGGCCUGCAGUCCAGUGUCAAUCUAGCCUAUCCCCACUUGCUCCCAGAACCCCAUCGGCAUCUGACGACAAGGAUAACAACAGUGCUCUCCAGACAACAGCAUGAGACAGGUGGCCUGGCCAGCAGAAGCAGGCGCACAGGUGGAGGAGACCUUGAGUUGUGGUUGGCCCAGUCUCUCUGCAGUCUCUGCUCUGUUCCUCCUUCAUUUGAUGGCUCGCACCACUGGGUGGUCCUCUUGGACUUAAGCUGGCAGUGUUUCAUCUCUGGCAUGGGUAGCUGGAGACACAGUCCAACCCUCAGCAACCAGCCAGGACCACAUCCUCAGUGGAUGUGGGGCAUUGUUGGCCUCCCUGGGGCAGCCCCCUGACCUUAUCCCACUUCUAACACAGCUUGAACGUUUCACAUGAGUCUACUUACUUGUCUUCCUCCCUGUCCCCAAAACGGUCGGCUUAGAGGGUAGACUCUACCCAGUGAAGAGAAGUACCAAAAUGGCGUCACUUGUGUCGAACUCUGAGAAUGUGAAACCAGGGAAGGUCAUGAGGGGGCACUCUCUUAUAUGUGCCAAAGAGCAAGAAUUAUCUAGCACAAGAGACUGCCAGAUCCACAGUCCAACAAGAAGGCCUCCAUGCCUCACACAGAACAUCAAGGACAUCUAGGCUCAGCAUAAUGGACUGUCCAACAUGGACUGAACCUCUCAGCCAAGGAUAAUUGCUUCAAGACAACUUACGUAACCCUCUUUUUUUUUUUUUUUACCUUUUAGAACCUUCAUCAGGCUGGGAGUGUGGCUAGGUGGUAGAACAGUUGUCUAGCAUGCACAAGACUCUGGGAUUCUGCCCCCACCAGUACACAAUAAACAGAAGCAAAACUCUC